rnacentral:lncRNA from 10 species
AAUGAGUGAAAACAAAGACAUAUGAGCAAAGGGUCAAGUUGCCAGAACUCUUUGAACGGAAGAAUCAAAGACUCAGGGAGGAGUUAAUCACGUCUCGGAGGGCACUGGGGGCUGUUGGGGCAGCAAGGCCCUGAGGCAGCUGGUGGGGACCAGCACUCACGCCCACACAGAACAUCUGUUCACACCCAUGGAAGUGCAGCGAGCUUUUGUUUUUAUUAACUGAAAGAGGAGGAAGGCAUUUGGUUGGGGUGGAGUUGGUAAAAGUGAGUAAAUUGCAAGGUUUGUAUUGGCACCUCCCCACAACCAGACCUGGGGUUUGAGUCUCUGUGUGGAAGGGUGGUUGUCAGACUUCGGAGAUGUGGCUUUCAUGAGAAGCUUUUACAAAUGUUUUAGGGAAGCAGAGCUGCUCCUAGAUCCAGGUGGCACAAAGGUGAGCAGGAAACCUGAAUUAGUCAGGGUUCAGGGAAGAGGAACCACUGUGAGUGAUAUAAAAUAAGAGAUUUAUUAUAUUGGGGGAGGUGAGAGACCCUUCUGUGCAGCCUGGUCCCUCUGUGUCUAGUGUUGACCUUGAAGUUGCUGUAGGUCAGCUGGAUUGGCAGUCACAAAGCAAAGCUGGUUGUCGACAAGAGCAAGGACAAACUGAAGCCCACAAGGAUGAAGUGGGACCUGCAUCUAUCACCUCCAGCCUCAAUGCGAUGCCCUGGCUGAGCUGCAGGAUGCCAGCCCCUUCACCACAAAGCUGCACACACACCUGGCCAAGGACUCAAAGAAGCAGGAGAUUGGGCUGGGCAUGCCUGGACAAGUUGGUGACACAAGUAAGUGACAUAUAAUGAGAAUUUCAUAAACCCAGAGAUGGAAAGAGAUCUGAGACAGUCAUUUCCUGCCUCUCCCCUCUUCUCUCUUCUCCUUUCCUCUUCUCUUCUCUCCUGCUCAUAAGCAUCCUAUGUUUCCAUCAUACCAAGCCACUGGCAGGUCUCUGAACACACCACACUCUGACAUGCUUGGACCUUGGCAUUUGUUAUAGCCCCAACAUGGAGAGGCCUCCACCCCUCCUGCCCUUCCUCACUCCUUUUUCCUUGAAUAACCUGCGUUCAAAUUUCAAAUCUCAGAUCCGUCCUCCCCUCUCCCUGACCCCUGGUUAGUUUGAGUCAAGAGAUACUCGCAGGUACUGUCUACUGAUGGCAGUCUGAACAUGCCUUUUCUAAUGUGCUAUCACCCUAUUUUUAAGUAGCCUUCUUGAAGUAUCAUUG